rnacentral:rRNA from 1 species
AUACGGAGGGUGCGAGCGUUAAUCGGAAUUACUGGGCGUAAAGCGUGCGUAGGCGGUUCGUUAAGUCAGAUGUGAAAGCCCUGGGCUCAACCUGGGAACUGCAUUUGAAACUGGCGGACUAGAGUUUAGUAGAGGGGAGUGGAAUUUCAGGUGUAGCGGUGAAAUGCGUAGAUAUCUGAAGGAACACCAGUGGCGAAGGCGACUCCCUGGACUAGAACUGACGCUGAGGUACGAAAGCGUGGGUAGCAAACAGGAUUAGAUACCCUGGUAGUCCACGCCGUAAACGAUGUCAACUAGCCGUUGGUCCUAUUUACAGGAUUAGUGGCGCAGCUAACGCAUUAAGUUGACCGCCUGGGGAGUACGGCCGCAAGGUUAAA